GGUCUGCUAAUUAUUUUUGUAGUUUGUAGUCUAGCAGACCAAUACCAAAAGCUUUGGGUCUGCCAGACUACAAACCACACAAAUCACUAGCAGACCCUUUUUUUUUUUUU
ensembl:miRNA mir-5552 ncRNA